rnacentral:rRNA from 1 species
UACGAACUGUGCAAACGUUAUUCGGAAUCACUGGGCUUAAAGGGUGCGUAGGCGGCUUAUCAAGUAGGGUGUGAAAGCCCCCGCUUAACCGGGGAAUUGCGCCCUAAACUGACGAGCUGGAGUGGGACAGGGGUGUGUGGAACUUCCGGGUGGAGCGGUGAAAUGUGUUGAUAUCGGAAGGAACGCCGGUGGCGAAAGCGACACACUGGGUCUCAACUGACGCUGAGGCACGAAAGCCAGGGGAGCGAACGGG